AGCUUCAGGGUAGAGGAGCCACAGAGCCAAAUGCUGCACAGACCAAGGGAGAUGAAAGGAUGUCGCCUCCAGAGCUGGGGCCACGGGCAGCGUCAGGGCAGGUUCAUCACUGAUGGCAAGUCUGUGACUGACCACGUUCACAGGGGUGGCCCCGAGCAAAGGUCGGACAUGAGAACCCAGGAGAAUUCAGGCCCUGGCUCUGGGACGGCUGUGCACCCCCACCCUGGCUAUGGCUGGCACCUCAGAAGGCACAGCUGUCCUUCACUCACAGAGGAAGGGCAACUCGAGGAGGCACAUUUUAGGAAACUGCCCAUGGAGCCAGCUUCGAUUCUCCAAACCUCAUCAGCCUGCACUGGCUGCCAGCUUCGAUUCUCCAAACCUCGUCAGCCUGCGCUAGCUGCCAGCUCCCUGACUCGGCAGCAAGGAGGGCCUCAGCAGCCGACCCCCAUGCCCGGCACCCCCUUCACCAGUGGGUAAACUAUGCUCACCACCACUCAGCACUCACCUCUUGGGCUCAGAGGGCAGGGAGUCUGACCCUUCUCUCUUAAGAGCAGGGUCCUGAAAACUCCAAAGAGCAGUGCCCUGUGCAUUAAACACAGACUGCGCCCUUGUACUCAGGUACGACCAUUUGUCCUGGACAAAAAUUAAACUGAUGAGGGAACAAAAUAGGGCCUUAUAGAAGGUGAGUGGAAAAGCAGGGAAGGCAAACCCCCAGAUUUAGGAGAGAGGAUGGAAGUGGCCUGGGGAGCAGAGGCAGGAGGUUUUGUGGACAGGGCUGGUGGAGCUCUGGGGGGAGCACAGGCAGGAGGCUUUGUGGAGAGGGCUGGUGGAUCUCUGGGGAAGAAGAGGCAGGAGGUUUUGUGGACAGGGCUGGUGGAGCUCUGGGGGAAGAAGAGGCAGGAGGUUUUGUGGACAGGGCUGGUGGAGCUCUGUGGGGAUCAGACACAGGAGGUUUUGUGGACAGGGCUGGUGAAGCUCUGGCCACUUCCUCAGUAAACUAGAGACGUGAUCCCCAGGGCCAGGUCUGCCUCUGAGGUCCUACCAGCUGGGACAGGUAAGAGGCUGGAGGAGGAGAGACGUGUGUGCAUGUGUGCAUGUGUGUGUGUGUGUGUGUGUGUGUGUAUACAGGAGCAUAUUCAAUGAGCACACAGGUCAAGGCUGCUGAUGGGGAAGGCAGGCCCAUCGUGGGGAGGGUGGGCAUUCCACCCAGGAGCCCGCCCAGAAGUCUUCAGUUCUAUCGACAUGAAAUUUCCAUCUCUCCUUCCCUGCUGGACUGUGGGCGCCCUAGAGGGGUCCCUACAUCCUCCUCCUUCCCUCCCUCCCUGAUACCCAGCACAGGGCCUACUGCAAAGUAGGUGCUCAGGGAAUAUCCAUUUAAUUCAACUGUAUUUCAUCAGAGAGAUGUGGUUUCCCAGACAAGGAAGAAUUCAGAAAACAACCCAGACAUGCUCAGAGCAGACAGCUGGGCUCUAACCAGGCUCUGUGACUUGCUGACUCACAGGCUGUUUGUUCCUCAAGAUUCCCCACGGGGUAGUCAGCCUCAAGGCAGCUCCACCUGACAGCUGAGCUCGCUCCUCGCUGAGGGGCUGGUGCCCCCAGGAGCCUCCUCUGGGAAGCUGAGACCUCCUGGUGCCACCUCGACCCCGCCAGGCGACACACACUGAGCAGAGGCUGCACUCGGGCUGGCCGGCCCAGCAGGCAGAUGUUCCCAAGCCCUUGUAAAACCCCGCAGUGCAGGGACUAGGAGGACCCCGAGGGGAACAGGGAAGGGAACAGGAGUUGCCUGGUGAUAAUUUCCUGAAAAAUUCCUAGGGGACAGAGGCUCAUCAGCCCCAGGCAACUUCCUGAGACAGAUCUGUAAAAACAACCCCUUCUUCCAGGAGGAUGCAAUUCUCUCUCUAAAGUCGAGAGCUCACCACCCCGGGCGUUAGUCACUGCAGACAUCAGACAUCACUGCAGACACAGAGAUGGCCAUUAUGCAGCCUCACGUGGUCGCUCCUGGGGGCUGUGGGAUAUUUGAUCCUAAAGAGAAAACACCUUAAAUUCACGUGUCAUCCACCCCCAUGGCGACUCUUAACACUUUAAUGUAGCACCUUCCAACUUUUCCUGGGCAUUUAUGUACACAUUUUAAAUAAAAUUAGGUUCUUACUGCAUACACUGCUUGCUGGUUUUUAAAUAAAAUUGGGUUCUUACU
rnacentral:sRNA from 1 species